AACGAACGCUGGCGGCAUGCCUAACACAUGCAAGUCGAACGAGCACUUUCGGGUGCUAGUGGCGCACGGGUGCGUAACGCGUGGGAAUCUGCCCUGGGGUACGGAAUAACUCAGAGAAAUUUGAGCUAAUACCGUAUGAUGACGUAAGUCCAAAGAUUUAUCGCCCUGAGAUGAGCCCGCGUUGGAUUAGCUAGUUGGUGGGGUAAGAGCCUACCAAGGCGACGAUCCAUAGCUGGUCUGAGAGGAUGAUCAGCCACACUGGGACUGAGACACGGCCCAGAAUCCUACGGGAGGCAGCAGUGGGGAAUAUUAGACAAUGGGCGCAAGCCUGAUCCAGCAAUGCCGCGUGAGUGAUGAAGGCCUUAGGGUUGUAAAGCUCUUUUACCCGGGAAGAUAAUGACUGUACCGGGAGAAUAAGCCCCGGCUAACUCCGUGCCAGCCGCCGCGGUAA
rnacentral:rRNA from 1 species